AGGAACAGCACGCCUCAUUUAGCCUGAACCUACAAGGCUCUUUUGUGUCUUCUCCCCGAAACUGAGCGGCUCGGUGCCCGUGUACUGUGAGGAAUGCCCGGAGAGCUGACCCAGGACCGGAUCCAGAAGACCUGGGAGCGGUCCAAGGAUGACCCACCGGCCAACCGAAGAGCGGCCGGUGCCCCCCACUUCGCCAACCCCCCCACCGUCAUCGUGAUGGUGGGUCUUCCGGCUCGAGGAAAGACAUACAUGUCCAAAAAACUCACCCGCUACCUCAACUGGAUCGGCCUUCCCACCAAAGUCUUCAAUGUGGGAGAGUACCGCAGGGAAGCAGUGAAGAACUACAGCUCCUAUGAUUUCUUCAAGCCCGAUAACGAGUGUGCUGUUAAAAUCCGACAGCAAUGUGCCUUAGCAGCCUUAAGGGAUGUCCACUCCUAUUUGAAGGACGAGGGAGGCCAAAUAGCGGUCUUUGACGCCACAAACACGACCAGAGACAGGAGAGAGAUGAUCCUCCAGUUUGGAAGUGAGAACGGCUUCAAGAUCUUUUUUAUCGAGUCCGUGUGUGACGAUCCCAGCGUUAUUGCGUCAAACAUCAUGGAAGUGAAGGUGUCCUGUCCAGAUUACCGGGACUGCAACAAGACUGACGCCAUGUUGGAUUUCCAGAGGAGGAUUGAAUGCUACAAAACCAGCUACCAACCCCUGGACCCUGAUCAACAUGACAGGGACCUCUCCUUCAUCAAGGUGAUAGACGUGGGUCGGCGCUUCUUAGUCAACCGGAUCCAGAAUCACAUCCAGAGUAAGAUCAUCUACUACAUGAUGAACAUCCACGUCCAGCCCCGCAGCAUCUACCUGUGUCGGCACGGAGAGAGCACCCACAACCUGGAGGGGCGUCUGGGCGGGGACUCGGGCCUGUCGCCGCGGGGCAAACAGUUCUCAGCUGCCCUGGCUGGCUUUGUGGAGGAGCAGCAGCUGCAGGACCUGAAGGUCUGGAGCAGCCAGCUGUGCUGCAGCAUCCAGACGGCAGAGCGCCUGGGUGUCCCGUACGAACAGUGGAAGGCUCUGAAUGAGAUAGACGCCGGAAUGUGUGAGGAGAUGACGUAUAACGAGAUGAAGGAGAAAUUCCCGGAAGAGUUUGCUUUGAGAGAUGAAGAUAAAUACUACUAUCGCUACCCUGCCGGAGAGUCCUACCAGGACCUGGUGCAGCGGGUGGAGCCGGUCAUCAUGGACCUGGAGAGACAGGAGAACGUUCUGGUCAUCUGCCACCAGGCCGUCAUGCGCUGCCUGCUGGCCUACUUCCUGGAUAAGAGUGCAGAGGAGAUGCCGUAUCUGAAGUGUCCCCUGCACAUGGUGCUGAAGCUCACCCCGGUCGCCUACGGCUGCAAAGUGGAGUCCAUCUCGUUGAAUGUGGAGGCGGUGAACACCCACCGAGACAGGCCGGAGGAUGUGAAGAGGGGUCCCGGGACGUUGAUCAGGAGGAACAGCGUGACUCCUCUGACCAGCCCCGAGUCCAACAUCAAGAAACCCCGCAUCGACGAUCUGGACGAGGCCGACUUCUCCGAGCUGCCUCCAUCUGUGUCCUCGCCGUCUCUCUGCAGCCCCUCACACACCCCCAUCAGCCUGUCUGGACAGCACUGGCUGGGCAGAGUUUGCCUGUGCUUGCUUUAUAUCUGGCCUGCUUAAAGACCAACCGUCCUCCAAUAUCUGAAGGUGUUUUCACUCUUAGUCUUUCAAAGAACCUGAGGAAAAAGACAUCGGCCCUGCACUGACGUGAGGUUCACUGAAGGUCGGACAUGAAACUACAAGCACGAGUUCAGUUGUGAAGAGACACAAGUAACUGUAGGCUACAUGUUAUUGUUAAGAAAUGAUGGUUAUUGUUCAUAUCUCAUGUAAAGAAACAGUCUUAAGUUCUCCUAUUUUAUAUCUCUUUGAGACUGAAGAACGUCACGCAUAUAAUUAUUUUGAAUGGAUAGCUCAGAUGGCUCCAUAUCAACUAUUUUCUACUUGUUUAUAAUUGAGAGACCUAAGACAGUCACAACUACAGAAAUCCUUCAGCCAAUUCUUUUUUUUUACCUCUGGUUGCACUGUCAAUUUACAUUUUUCUCUUCUUUGCAUUUUAAAUGCAUAUUUGUCUAAUUUGUGUUCAAAAGAAGAUGAUUUAAUUGUAUGCUUACAUUAUAAAAUAAGCGAUUAUUUUGCACAUUGGGGAUACAUUUGUACUUUUGCAUUUUUCAUGUCAUGGAGGUGAUGUCUGCCGUAGUGCCUGUAGCGCUUGUUUCUUCCAAGCCUUACGCCACUCCCCUUGCCAUUUCUAUGGAAUAGAGACUCCACAUAUCACUUUAAUAUUUAUUUAAUAUUUAUUUUUCAUCAUGUUUAACGCUACAAUGCAUGUUGAUAAUUUAACAGAGUUCUUAAUUUGUCUUUUUCUUUUUACAAUGUCUGCUCGGCACAAAUGUAACUUAUAUUUUUGUUCUAACGAAGCGUGCUGUUAAUAAUAUGUAAGUGUUCAUACAGUAUAAAUGAAGAGAUGCAUGGGAGAGACUUUCUGGAGUCUUAAAAUGAAAAUGUAUGAAGAAGUAUUUUUGUACCUCUCUCUGCUGAAACCUUUGUUAACAUGUUGGCACAAAAUACUUGUCUUUUGUAAAAACUGUUUUAUUAUAUUCUUUAUUUAUUUGUUGUAGUUUUGGAUACUUGGAGGGAGAGGUAGUACCCCGUUUCAAUCUGAGAGGACAGUAUGUUGUACAGUCCUUUUGUAUCUGCUGGGCCAAUAAAAUAACUGCUAAAGAUAUAAUUA